AAAUGCCAGCGUGGUCAGUGUACUCUGGGUGACUGGCGUGGGAUCAGAGUCCUGUACAGACUUCACAUCUGAUCCGGAGGCUACUGCACUGUCUUGUCCAGGAAAUACUUCACAAGGAAGACAUUAACACACACUGCCGACAGAGGAAACAAGAGAAAUAGAGAAAAAGAGUGGAGAGAGGUUCGCUGAGGAGGAAAGAUAUAUACAAAAAUUGAGACAGAGCAGUAAAUAGAGACACGAUCUGUGAAGAUUGGGUACGCACUUACACAGCAGUCAACAUGCCCCUUUCCAAAAGUGAUCACCCCUCCAUGAGGCAGUUUCUGAAGGAGAAAGUCAUCAAAGGAGGUGCCAUCCCUGGAUACCACCAGCUACAGGAAAAGUACUUGGGAGAUGUCUACCUGAAGGUGAAGGGAAGAACUCAAGCAACAUCUCGCAGGGAAGCCAGUGGCAGUCAUCUUCGAUGAAACUCCAGAUGUUGAAGGAAGAUGUGUACUAAACAUCCUCACCGCACCACUUGAAAAGGAUACCUCGGAGAGAAUUCUUGCCUACCUCGACAGAGACAGUGUUUCUGGAGCAGUGUAACCAUUCAACAGUUUCCACGGCGGUGGUGAAAUGUCUACAAGAUUACAAGAUCGCCAAUGAUGACGUCAUUGUCUUUGACACAGACAAUGCUGCGUACAUGAAGAAAGCCGACAGAGCUGCACUUCAGUCGUUGUUCCCCCAUCUCCCUGCACAUAACAUGCAUGGUUCCCAUCAUGAAUCUGAUAAGGAUUGCUCUCUGCAAAACUUUUGAUCAGCUGGACGCAUUCAUGCUACGUUUUUCGCAGAUGUUUUACCAGCACGCAGAAUAAGAUACCUUUACCUUCCUCACCACCAAACUGGCAGGACGGAAGAGAGCAACUAUGGCUCCCAAUCCAUGUGCAAAUCGCUGGAACUCAUGGUUCUCAGCAGUGCAGUACCACUCACAGCUGUUUGGCCUCUACAAGGGGUUCAUAGAGAUGGAAAUACAGGUGUGUGGCCCGAGGUGCCCCAACAGUCUGUAGAGAAACUCCCAUAAGAUGCUACAAGACCAAGAGCAGGUUCAGUCGCUGGAGAUUCAGCUGAACAUCAUGGCAGACAUGUUCAAAGUCGUCCUGCAGCUUCUCGACAUCUUCCAGAGCAGACGCCCGUGACAACAAAGAUCUUUCACUAUUUAGAGGACUUGCAGAUGAACAUUGCAGCCGUCAAAGAACUACAGUAGGAGGCUUGUUCACACUGCUUUGACGCAGUUGACGACGUACCCUUUGCUGUGAAAACAAAAAUCUUGAGCACCGUUGAAGAGGCAUACAGCAAUGCAGAGGAAAAACUCCAUGGCAAACUGUCAGAUAGUCAGCCUGCCCUGGAGCUCCUCAGAGAGAUUAAAGUAGAUGUCACACGUCAAUUUUGAUUGAUGACCCUAUGUGAACCUAUGUGAACGCUAUGU